UAGGCGGAGCAGCUGCCGGCCGGGAGGAGUGCGGGAAGCGUCCCACCCGGAAGCCUCCCCCGGAACUGGGCUGUAGUCCGUGGGGGCCCGUGGUCCUUACUGUUCUUUGGGUCCUUGCUGAGCCAUGCCGGUUUUCUACCUCUCCUGCCCACUUUCUUAUUCAGGGGAAUGGAGACCUCUUGUGCUGCCAGGAGGGCAUCCUUGAACAGUAGCCAGCUCUCCUCAACUUUUGUUCAAGAAGAUAAAAUCCUUAUUUAAGAAAGACAAGAAACAUCCUGUUCAGAGUGGUGCACUAGAAGGCUGUAAAACUGUUUUCUUCUAAGUUCUUUGUCUUCAUGACCUUGCCAGCUUCUGGCUGUGAAGGCAAGUAAGAUCUUUGUACUAUUUAUUCUUAAUGUUGCUUUUACAAAAUGUUUGUUGACUCUACUGCAAUGUGGUAGCUACCAGUUAAGUUUUCCCUUUUCCCCUUCCUUUUCCUUUUCCCCUUCCUUUUCCUUUUUAUCCCUUUUCAGAAACUGAUUUAUACUAGUCCAAAGAUCAUAUUUUAGUGUUGGGGGUUUUUUUUGUUUGUUUUCCAAGCAAAGCCCUUUUUUUAGUGUUUCUGCAUACUUGCCCUUAAUUUUGUGAUGCUGGCUUCUAAAAAUAAUAUUGAUAACAUUUAUUUAAAAUCUGAACACUGCAUGUAUAAUCUCUUCAGAAGCAGAAUGCUGGCAUUACUUCUGAUUCAUUAUUUAACUCUGCUAAUGUGCUUUAGCCACAAUAAUGAUAUGAGAUUCUUAAUUUCAAAAUAGCAGAAGAAAUACACAGAAUGUCCUUUACGUCCCAUGAAAGGAAAGCUGUUCCCUUUGUAGAUCAUCCUGAGAGAAGGCAGAAGGUUAAUUAGAGAGACUCCUUUCAGGCUAUUUUUUCACAGGUGGACAGAAACAAACAAAAGAUGAGUGAUGUUGUUUCUUGGUCAAUAAAAAUGAAUUAAUCUUAAAAACUCAUAUAAUUUGUUCCCUGCGUGGGAUACAAAAAAUACUUAAUUGUGUCCUUGCUCUGUAUUAUGCUGCAGCUUGACAGUGUCUGAAUAAAUAGCCCUCUCAUGCAUGUACUUAUAUCCUCUUUGAUUCAUCCAUGUCAUUUAUGGUUUUUUGUUUAACAUUUGUCAGAUGUUUCUUUUACAGGUAGGAUUUGGUUCCAAAAACAUUGAUGAAUACUACGCUUGGCCUGCACUUGAUCUCGGAUUUUGAUAGAGCUCAGUAAUGCUUUGGUGGAAAUGAACUAUCUGAACCAAAGGUAGAGUUUAUUUGUAGGAGUAUGUCUUAUUUGUUUAAUGAGUCAUGAUACUUUGCUAUUCUGUAACACUUUCUACUUUACUACCUCAGGGCUGUAUGGAAACAAAUUCAGCAGCAUAGAAAUGCAUGUGAGGAGACAACUAUUUUACACUUACGCUCUGCUUCCUUAUUUAUUUGUAGUUUUUUUAUUUGUUUGUUUGGUUUUGUUGGUUUUUUUUUUCACAGAUGAGUGGGCUGCUUGAGGAGAACUCUAAUUUGCAUUGGGUCUGUGCAAGAACCAGCAACACUGACAAAAAAGUGACUUGCCGAACUCCUGAAUCAGAAAUUCUGUGUGAUGUCAGCAAGUACAGCAUAGGGCUUAUGUUGGAUGCAUAGUACUCCCAUUCUAGGGCAAUACAAAAUACCUGGGAGGUUAUCCUUACCUCCUCUGAUCUAUGGAGGUAGUAACUACCUGUGUCUUUAGCAGUUCUCUUCUCUCCCUGGAGCCUGGAAGAGGCCAAGAUUUGUGUUAGAGGAUAAGAGAGAUGGGGAUGUGUAAGGAAUGCUAUAAAUCUCAGUGAUAUAGGGAUUUCAUUAUGUUCUUUAUUGCAAUAGGAAUCUCUUCAGUGGUUGGGCUAAAAGAAUAACUGAGGCAACUGAGAUCCUUCUGCUUGCAUACUUCCUUUGAAAGCUGUACAAGUGACUAUUCCCAGUUUUUAUUGUUUUAAUAUUAGUCUGGUAGCUUCCAAUUGCAUUAAUAUGAGCAAAUCUCUCCCAGUUUUAAUAAUGUACAUAUUUAAUGUCUGCAAUGUGACCUGUUUAUAUAUAAGGAGAUUGUCACCAUGAAUAUUAUAAGACACAAGUAGCUCCACUUUUCUCCAUAUGGAGAAUUUAAACACAAGUAAACUGGAAAAAAAGCAAUCUGACUAUUAAGAUGAAAUAUUUUGGCCUUCAUGUUAAGUUGUUAUCAUACCUAAGAUGGAGAGUUUGCAACAUGCUGGUAAAAAAAUGUUUCUGGUGCCAAGUAAUUAUUGAUGUAUUUUAGAUGUACAUGUCUUGUUCCAUCUGCAAAGUUCAUCAGCCAUCCCUACCAGACAACAUCAAGUUCCUACUCCUACUAUAGCUGAAAGCAUGUUUACCUUUCAACUCUGGAAACGAGAACAAGAAUUGGGUAAUUGCAUGAAAUAAUAGAUUUCACACAUCUGGUCAGUCCUAUGUGUUGUUUUUUACUAUAUUACUCUGGUAAUUGCAGCAUGAUUUAUUUAUGGUUGUAUACUUGUAAUAAUCUUACAAGUUUAUAAUAUUAGAAAGAUAUAUAUUUAGGAAAAAGAGAGAAAGUUGUUAGUGUUUUUCUAUCAGCAUUCUUCAGUUAAUGUACGCAGUCAAAUAAAACAUAAAACCUCUCCUUUUAUAACACACAGACUCCCCAGGGCAUGGCCCUAAACUGCAAGAGCUCAAGGAGCAUUUGGGGACACCUUUUCUCAGACAUAGGGGCUGCAAUUGAGUGGUGCUGUGUGAAACCAGGAGUUGGACUCAAUGAUCCCUGUGGGUCCCUUCUAACUUGGUAUAUUCUGCAAUUCUAUGAAAAAAUGCAGUGUGUAAUCAGCUUAUAUGAAUUCUGAUGGUUACCAGAGGAAACAAGGCAUAUGCUCAUAUUAUAUCAGUUCACAGAAAUAUUUUUACUUUGUAUACCUGGGGCAUGAAUUCCAAAAAGAAACUAAUGUUUUCUUGCUUUUCUCAAAGGAAGUCAACAGAUCAUCUACCUUCAUCUAUUUUUGUCUUCUGUUUAUUUCUCUUGUUUUGUCUUGUUCAUUUAUGGUCUGUCUUUUGAAUGUUUUUCAGUGAUUUUCAUUGUUUAUUUUUAUGUCACUUGGCAAAAACCAAAGAAAUAAAUUACAUUCUCUGCUGCAGAGAACAAUCAACAGUAGCUUUACUGCUGUGGUAUUUUAAUGGGAUGUCUUGUCAUUUCCUUUCAUUUAUGAAUGACAUUCAUUUAUGAAUGAGAUUUGAAAAUGAGAUGGGAAAAGGGAAGCAUCAUAGCUAUUUGUAAAGUUGUAGUUGCCAAGUAUAGAAGGAAACACAAUUAAAACCUUUAAAUGAAAGCUCAGUCUCUUCCAGUUCUGCAGUCAUUCUGUUUUUAGGAGCUGAUCAGGAUUAUGAUCUGUCAUUAUUUGGAGUUCUAGUAUAAUUACUUCUCUUUAAGUUUUUUCCCACUGUAGUUUCUGAUCCCAUUGCCAAGAUUAAUGACUAUCAUCUUACAACAGUGCAGAGGGAUUUAUAGACUCAUAUUACAGUUUAAGCAACUGAGGCUUAAGGCUAAGCUAUGGGUUCUAGUAACAAAGGAGGUAUGUAGCAAAAUCAUUAGUAAGAUUCUGAUUACCCAGUUCCUCUAUCAACACUUUCAGCAUACAAAUAUUGUUAUGAUGUGAUACAAAGAAUAAGAAGAAUGACUCAUUCACAUAUGCUUCUUUUUACCUUCUACAUAACUAUUUAGAAGAUUACCUUAAGGAUAUGAGUGUCUCAGCAUGACAUUGAGCAAGAAGUAUUCUCACACAAGUUUGGCUAAAAUUAAAAAAUUUGAGAUUUUUUUUAAUUCAUCAGUGAAGGCUGUUGACCAAAUAAUCUGCUACCUGCAGGUAUCAAUAUGUUAUAUUUUUAUAUUCUCUAGCCACCAUUUCGGAAAUGAAAUGUUGAGGCUGGAAAACUGUAUAUUUAGGGGGAGAAUGAGUAACAGCAGAAUCAGAGCAAAAAGUCUGAGGAAGGAAAUAAUAAAAAGAAACACUCUGGACCUUACCAGGAUUUCUCAGAUUCCAAAUAGAAAAUGAGCAGACAAAGAAGCAAACCAGAGUGGAAGAGGUACUAUUUGUAAUUUUGUGAUGUCCUCCUUUUUUUCAUAUGUAGCCUGUACAGCACUUCCCUUUACCAUUUUCAACCUACAGAUUCAAUUCAUUGUCAUCCUAAAAUUCUCUUAAUGAAAACUCUCUUGAAUUCGACUUUACCUGCCCUGACUCCUCCUUGACUUAGGACUUGCUUAUCUUGUCCUUAUCCAAAGUCAUUUUAUCCAUUCUCUCUUUGCAUUUCCAGGUACACCUGUAGGUUUGCUGCCUGAAAACCUUUCAUUUAUUAUCAAACCUUUUAUCAGCUCUCAGUUCUGAACUCUCUCUGCUUGCUCCCAAGCUCACUGCACUCUCCCUUACUCAGAAUUUAGGUCAGAGAAGCAGUUGGUGAAGUGAGAUGUUAUUUUUCCACAAACCCACUGGCAGAUGCUUGCUAUCUUAGAUCUUGCUAGAUCUCAGAUCUAGAUCCCAUAUCUAGAGGAACAUAUUAAGCAGCCAAAAAACUAUACCUUGUAGAUAUGGAAAAGGUGUCCAUAGUUUGUAUGGUGCAAGAAAGUCAGCUCUGCAGAGCAACCCUUAGCCUGCUGCCUCCUCUCAGUGCUGCGGUGCUGGCAGUGCUGCAUGAGAAGCAGAUGCACUGCAGAUUUCAAGGGCUAUAGCAACUCCAGGAUGCCUCUGGCAGCAGUUUGCAGGUAAAAGGUGUGAAAGACAGAACUGGUUUUCUUUUUGUUGUCUCAAAGCUUGCUUCAUGAGGCCUUUCUGAUGAUAAGACUGGCGACUGCUAACUAUCUAGGAGGGUGAAUGGUGGGUGUUGUUGUGCCACAGUACUUCUGCUUAUGAUUACAAAGAUAAGCAGAAGCAGAAUGAGCAUUCUUUCUCAGGGGUGCUGCUCGAAGGAGUGGACCACUGCAGAAGGCGAUAACGCUUGUGUCCGGCAACAGAGACCCCCUCUUCCUUCCUUGCUGGCCCAUCUGUGGCCAGGAAUGUCACAAAAGCUGGUUGUGAAUCACUUUUCAAGAAGUGUUUGCCUGUUUGUUCAGAAGUUUGGUAUUUCCCCCAAAAAUGCUGAGCUGCAAUUCUCAGACUUCGAAGA